rnacentral:SRP_RNA from 1 species
UGUCCACAAGUAAUCCUUGCGUAUAUCGAUUAUAUGAUGUAUGCGUGCACUGGUCCAAGCAGGAAACAGAGCAU